CAGAGAGUGAGGCCUGGCCACCCGGCGCCGGCCCAGGCCCGGCCGCGGGGAGCCGAAGGGCGACGAGUCCGGCGACGAGGCCGUGUCGCUGUCGGGGGCCCGGCAGAGGCGCAGGUCCGGGGCGGAGACGUGCAGCCGGGACUGCGCCGCGGGGAGUCCCCCGGCCGGGGCGGGUGGCGGCCCGUGGAACAGGGAUUCCCGCCGGCGCGUGUGCGGGCUCUCCGGCAGGAAGGCCCAGCCUUCGCGGCCCGCCAGGGUCGAGAGGGUCCAAAUCUCGUCUCAGAUGGGAGUGCUCGGCGGAGCGGGGCUGGGCGAGGAGAGAAGAGGAGUCAGAGGCUAGUCAAGUGAAGCAGUGGGAGUGGAGAUGGAACAAAGAAAUCUGCAACUGGUUGUGAUCAGUUAGUGGUAAACACUACUGCACUUGGACCAACCUCUUCCUUUUCCUGACUGCAUAGGAAGGAUGGAAUGUAUUUCCUUCCUUCUGGGAGUGUUUGAAUGAAGAUUAGACUCUCCUUGACCCUGAAUGAAGAGCAACCAGUUUUUUAGUAUACAGUGAUUUAGACUCUGGGUCUAGAGUGUAGAUAUCAUGGGCACUGUGAAAGCACAGAAGGAGAAAAUGUUUUUAUGGGAGUAUAUGGGAGAGGAAAUAGUUGAUUGUCAUAAGCUUUUUGGCUAUGGCCUCCGGUACAUCUCUAGCUUUUGGAAGGCACUAAAUUGAGGCCAUUCAAAUCCAUGUCCACCUAUCCUUUGCCCAUCGUGAGACUGAUGGCUUAGGAACCAUGUGGUCUAGGUACUAGAGAGGGAGCCUGACCCACCUACCUCGCUGCUGCUGCUGAAUUUGUGCACAACUCUCUGACCUGGUUCCAUGUCACAAAGGGUUUCAUUCUCUCUGAUUCCCUGAAUCCCCAGCUCCAGCCCCAGAUCCUGGAGCCCUAGCAUAUGCCUGAAGCUGAAUAUUUUACUUGCCAGAGUAAGAGUUUUUACAUAGACUCUGUCAUCUUCUACUGGCCCUCCUCUUAAACUGAGGCAGCGGCUGCUAGCUACUCACCAAACCCAUUUUACUUUCUUUUUCUUUUUCUUUUCUUUUCUUUCUUUCUUUUUUUUUUUUUUUUUUUUUGAGACAGAGUCUUGCUCUG